UGCCAAGGCUCAAAGCUCUCUCUCCUAACCUUCCCCGCCGCACCUGAGCCUGAGCCCUGCCAGCCCUGGGACCCAGGAGGCUCUGUAGGCAGAACCUGAUUGUGGGGUAGCAGCAGAGGGCACUGUACUCCACAUACAAGACAGUGGGCCUGGGGUGAUGAUGCACUAGGGACUGACACAGGACAGAGCCAACUGUCCUUGUCUCCUGAGCCCCUCCUGGCCAGGCCCGGAUCAGGGCCUUGGGACUGGGCAUGAGGGCCCAUCCCGGUCUCUCCAGCCUCUGCUUCCAUGGCCACCUGGCACCAGAGCCUCCUCCCAGCAAGCCCACAGUCAGAGGGUCCCAGGGCCAGGAGCUGCUGGGAUCUGUGGGGGUGGUUGGGGCAGAGCACAGCUAAUUCUUGUUUCUCGUCAUGGUGCUGUUGCUGCUUCAGGAAGCCAUUCAGAAGGCUACAACAGCGGUGUGCUCAAAGAUUCCAGCGGUGGAAAAAAGUCUGCAAAGAUAUCCUCACCAGAUUUUUGUGUAGUGUUGCCCAGUUUUUCCUGAAUAGUGAUCCCUCCAGGGAUAUCUGUGUGACCUUCAGGUUGUGCAGACAUCAAGUAGGUGUCCAAGGAGCUGGGACCUUACUCCACCCCGGGGAGAAGCACAGAGUCUCCAGCAGGCACCGCCAGCUCCUGCCUUCCUAAAUCCAGGACGGACCCUCCAGUUUCUCUCAGCUAGCUCCCUGCAGUGUCGUCCCCUGGCAGGAGAAUAAAAUGUCUUGCAAGCUUUUGGCCACAGCUUCUGUUCCUUUGGGGGAUUGGAGGG
rnacentral:lncRNA from 1 species